rfam:Ictidomys tridecemlineatus contig091799, whole genome shotgun sequence.
GGGGGUAUAGCUCAGUGGUAAAGUGUGUACUUAGCAUGUACAAGCCCUGGGUUUAAUCCCAGCACUAUCU